rnacentral:rRNA from 1 species
GAAACCCGGUGAUCUAGCCAUGGGCAGGUUGAAGGUUGGGUAACACUAACUGGAGGACCGAACCGACUAAUGUUGAAAAAUUAGCGGAUGACUUGUGGCUGGGGGUGAAAGGCCAAUCAAACCGGGAGAUAGCUGGUUCUCCCCGAAAGCUAUUUAGGUAGCGCCUCGUGAAUUCAUCUCCGGGGGUAGAGCACUGUUUCGGCAAGGGGGUCAUCCCGACUUACCAACCCGAUGCAAACUGCGAAUACCGGAGAAUGUUAUCACGGGAGACACACGGCGGGUGCUAACGUCCGUCGUGAAGAGGGAAACAACCCAGACCGCCAGCUAAGGUCCCAAAGUCAUGGUUAAGUGGGAAACGAUGUGGGAAGGCCCAGACAGCCAGGAUGUUGGCUUAGAAGCAGCCAUCAUUUAAAGAAAGCGUAAUAGCUCACUGGUCGAGUCGGCCUGCGCGGAAGAUGUAACGGGGCUAAACCAUGCACCGAAGCUGCGGCAGCGACGCUUAUGCGUUGUUGGGUAGGGGAGCGUUCUGUAAGCCUGUGAAGGUGUGCUGUGAGGCAUGCUGGAGGUAUCAGAAGUGCGAAUGCUGACAUAAGUAACGAUAAAGCGGGUGAAAAGCCCGCUCGCCGGAAGACCAAGGGUUCCUGUCCAACGUUAAUCGGGGCAGGGUGAGUCGACCCCUAAGGCGAGGCCGAAAGGCGUAGUCGAUGGGAAACAGGUUAAUAUUCCUGUACUUGGUGUUACUGCGAAGGGGGGACGGAGAAGGCUAUGUUGGCCGGGCGACGGUUGUCCCGGUUUAAGCGUGUAGGCUGGUUUUCCAGGCAAAUCCGGAAAAUCAAGGCUGAGGCGUGAUGACGAGGCACUACGGUGCUGAAGCAACAAAUGCCCUGCUUCCAGGAAAAGCCUCUAAGCAUCAGGUAACAUCAAAUCGUACCCCAAACCGACACAGGUGGUCAGGUAGAGAAUACCAAGGCGCUUGAGAGAACUCGGGUGAAGGAACUAGGCAAAAUGGUGCCGUAACUUCGGGAGAAGGCACGCUGAUAUGUAGGUGAAGUCCCUCGCGGAUGGAGCUGAAAUCAGUCGAAGAUACCAGCUGGCUGCAACUGUUUAUUAAAAACACAGCACUGUGCAAACACGAAAGUGGACGUAUACGGUGUGACGCCUGCCCGGUGCCGGAAGGUUAAUUGAUGGGGUCAGCGCAAGCGAAGCUCUUGAUCGAAGCCCCGGUAAACGGCGGCCGUAACUAUAACGGUCCUAAGGUAGCGAAAUUCCUUGUCGGGUAAGUUCCGACCUGCACGAAUGGCGUAAUGAUGGCCAGGCUGUCUCCACCCGAGACUCAGUGAAAUUGAACUCGCUGUGAAGAUGCAGUGUACCCGCGGCAAGACGGAAAGACCCCGUGAACCUUUACUAUAGCUUGACACUGAACAUUGAGCCUUGAUGUGUAGGAUAGGUGGGAGGCUUAGAAGUGUGGACGCCAGUCUGCAUGGAGCCGACCUUGAAAUACCACCCUUUAAUGUUUGAUGUUCUAACGUUGACCCGUAAUCCGGGUUGCGGACAGUGUCUGGUGGGUAGUUUGACUGGGGCGGUCUCCUCCUAAAGAGUAACGGAGGAGCACGAAGGUUGGCUAAUCCUGGUCGGACAUCAGGAGGUUAGUGCAAUGGCAUAAGCCAGCUUGACUGCGAGCGUGACGGCGCGAGCAGGUGCGAAAGCAGGUCAUAGUGAUCCGGUGGUUCUGAAUGGAAGGGCCAUCGCUCAACGGAUAAAAGGUACUCCGGGGAUAACAGGCUGAUACCGCCCAAGAGUUCAUAUCGACGGCGGUGUUUGGCACCUCGAUGUCGGCUCAUCACAUCCUGGGGCUGAAGUAGGUCCCAAGGGUAUGGCUGUUCGCCAUUUAAAGUGGUACGCGAGCUGGGUUUAGAACGUCGUGAGACAGUUCGGUCCCUAUCUGCCGUGGGCGCUGGAGAACUGAGGGGGGCUGCUCCUAGUACGAGAGGACCGGAGUGGACGCAUCACUGGUGUUCGGGUUGUCAUGCCAAUGGCACUGCCCGGUAGCUAAAUGCGGAAGAGAUAAGUGCUGAAAGCAUCUAAGCACGAAACUUGCC